rnacentral:rRNA from 1 species
GACGAACGCUGGCGGCGUGCCUAACACAUGCAAGUCGAGCGGAGAUGAUGCGAGGAAGUUUUCGGAUGGAAUCGUAUUAUUUUAGCGGCGGACGGGUGAGUAACGCGUGAGCGACCAACCUUGCACAGGGGGAUAACGGACCGAAAGGUUCACUAAUACCGCAUGAGACCACGGUGUUGCAUGACACAGGGGUCAAAGGAGGAAUCCGGUGCAAGACGGGCUCGCGUCCGAUUAGGUAGUUGGUGGGGUAAAGGCUCACCAAGCCAAUGAUCGGUAGCCGACCUGAGAGGGUGAUCGGCCACAUUGGAACUGAGAGACGGUCCAAACUCCUACGGGAGGCAGCAGUGGGGAAUAUUGGGCAAUGGGGGGAACCCUGACCCAGCAACGCCGCGUGAAGGAAGAAGGUUUUCGGAUUGUAAACUUCUGUCCUUGGUGAAGAGAAGAAGACGGUAGCCGAGGAGGAAGCCCCGGCUAACUACGUGCCAGCAGCCGCGGUAAUAGGUCACGUCG